rnacentral:rRNA from 1 species
UUCGGUUGAUCCUGCCGGAGGCUACCGCUAUUGGAGUUCGAUUAAGCCAUGCGAGUCGCGAGAAAUUAGAUUCUCGGCGUACCGCUCAGUAACACGUGGGUAACCUGCCCUAUGCUGGAUAAUAACCUCGGGAAACUGAGAAUAAUGAUCCAUAGUUCACUACGCCUGGAACGGUGAGUGGAUGAAAGCUCCGGCGGCAUAGGAUGGGCCUGCGGCGUAUCAGGUUGUAGGGGGUGUAACGUACCCUCUAGCCCUCUACGCGUACGGGUGUUGGGAGACAUAGCCCGGAGAUGGAUUCUGAGACACGAAUCCAGACCCUACGGGGUGCAGCAGGCGCGAAAACUUGGCAAUGCGAGAAAUCGUGACCAGGGAACUCCAAGUGCAUGGGGUAAGACCCAUGCUUUUCUUGACUCUAAAUAGGUCUUGGAAUAAGGGGUGGGUAAGGACGGUGCCAGCCGCCGCGGUAAUACCGGCGCCUCAAGUGGUAGUCGCUUUUAUUGGGCCUAAAACGUCCGUAGCCGGUCUGAUACAUUCGUGGGUAAAUCAACCAGCUUAACUGGUUGAAUUCUGCGAGGACGGUCAGACUUGGGACCGGGAGAGGUGUGGGGUACGCUCAGGGUAGGGGUAAAAUCCUGUCAUCCUGAGCGGACCACCUGUUGCGAAGGCGCCACACUAGAACGGAUCCGACGGUCAGGGACGAAGCCUAGGGGCACGAACCGGAUUAGAUACCCGGGUAGUCCUAGGUGUAAACGCUGUGGACUUGAUGUUGGGGGUGCUCCGAGCACUCUCAGUGUCGAAGCGAAGGUGAUAAGUCCACUGCCUGGGAAGUACGGUCGCAAGGCUGAAACUUAAAGGAAUUGGCGGGGGAGCACCGCAACCUGAGGAUUGUGCGGUUUAAUUGGAGUCAACGCCGGA